GACGAACGCUGGCGGCGUGCCUAAUACAUGCAAGUAGAACGCACAGUUUAUACCGUAGCUUGCUACACCAUAGACUGUGAGUUGCGAACGGGUGAGUAACGCGUAGGUAACCUGCCUGGUAGCGGGGGAUAACUAUUGGAAACGAUAGCUAAUACCGCAUAAUAUUGAUUAUUGCAUGAUAAUUGAUUAAAAGAUGCUAUUGCAUCACUACCAGAUGGACCUGCGUUGUAUUAGCUAGUAGGUGAGGUAACGGCUCACCUAGGCGACGAUACAUAGCCGACCUGAGAGGGUGAUCGGCCACACUGGGACUGAGACACGGCCCAGACUCCUACGGGAGGCAGCAGUAGGGAAUCUUCGGCAAUGGACGAAAGUCUGACCGAGCAACGCCGCGUGAGUGAAGAAGGUUUUCGGAUCGUAAAGCUCUGUUGUAAGAGAAGAACGGGUGUGAGAGUGGAAAGUUCACACUGUGACGGUAUCUUACCAGAAAGGGACGGCUAACUACGUG
rnacentral:rRNA from 1 species